rnacentral:rRNA from 1 species
GAUGAACGCUGGCGGCGUGCCUAAUACAUGCGAGUCGAGCGAACAGACGAGGAGCUUGCUCCUCUGACGUUAGCGGCGGACGGGUGAGUAACACGUGGAUAACCUACCUAUAAGACUGGGAUAACUUCGGGAAACCGGAGCUAAUACCGGAUAAUAUAUUGAACCGCAUGGUUCAAUAGUGAAAGACGGUUUUGCUGUCACUUAUAGAUGGAUCCGCGCCGCAUUAGCUAGUUGGUAAGGUAACGGCUUACCAAGGCAACGACGCGUAGCCGACCUGAGAGGGUGAUCGGCCACACUGGAACUGAGACACGGUCCAGACUCCUACGGGAGGCAGCAGUAGGGAAUCUUCCGCAAUGGGCGAAAGCCUGACGGAGCAACGCCGCGUGAGUGAUGAAGGUCUUCGGAUCGUAAAACUCUGUUAUUAGGGAAGAACAAAUGUGUAAGUAACUAUGCACGUCUUGACGGUACCUAAUCAGAAAGCCACGGCUAACUACGUG